AGAUAACAGAAAGGAAACUAAGCUAUACGGAAAAGAUAACAAAGAUGGAGGGAGGGGAAGCCUAGGCUCCCACCUCCCUCGGACGGAAGAGAGCUGCCUUGUUUCUAGAGAGAAAGAGGAGCUUCUCUCACUAGGGUUUAGUCCUCCUGCGAUUGAGACAUUAUCAAGCGGCUUGUUUCAAGAGGUAAUCGUAACAAAUACCAUUCCGUGUUGGAGCAAAACUAUUUUCCUCAGCUAACGGAAUUGUCAGUUGCAAACCUCCUGGGGGAGAUGACUGCUCUGGUGGCUUUGAACUAACUGACGAUUUGCACAGGUUGUUGUGUGCGUUUCCCAGCUUCCAUUUCUGUCACUGGUUGCCUUGUAUGAUGGAAUUGAUAGUAAAACCAAAAUGUACAAGUGAGAGGAUAUCUUCUUUUCAGCUUGUUUUCAAAGCCGUGUACAGUUAUAGGUUUACGGAUAGAUUCUUUCCAUUAGGUUGAAUGUUAAGUUUUUUGCAGGCCCUCAUAGCUUCAAACCCUACUAUAAUGCAUUGUAUUCAUAUAAUAGAUAAUGAAUUGUAUUUGGAUAAUAGAUAAUUCAAUGAAUUUUGGAUGAUUCGUUUGUUGUCA